CCACAAACGCACACUCAUAGAAUUUAUUCAUAGGUUGUGGAAAGAGUAUAUUCUGUUAGGGUUCCCUAAGAUGUUAUUCACAAUUAUAAAUAGCAAAGUGUCAUUGAGGGUUUGGAUAUGCCAAUUAUCUUGCUCAUUCACCGAAUCAAUUAGACUCAGAACUCUAUAUAUACACAAAAACAACAGGUUGCUAUGCAAGAAUGAACCCAUCAUAUAUAGUCGUUGUUUGCAGGUGCAGCAGCAUCAAGAUUCACAUACAAAUUCUUUAAUUGGUGUAAUUAAUCACACCGAGUGGAGUUUUUUUGUUAUUGAGAAUCUUGAUGAUGCUGCAUCAGCAAUAAAUGAUUUCAGCCGAUCCAUCUUAAUUUAUACAGUUUCCUAUAUAUGGAUCUUGGAUCCGUUUUUCUUAAAAAUAUUGAUUAUUUUCUGUUUCAAUAUGAUUCUUGAUAGACUUUCAUGCUCAAGUCAGAAUCUCUAAGUGAAUCACUGGUGAUUUUAAAAAUAGCUACACUUUAUGAUUCAAAAAAUGCUUUACCUGUGCCCCAGCUCCAUAGAUUCUUAUGUCCAAGAAGAUAUGUCUUCCCUGAUGAAAGGAAAGGAACUCUAUGAAGAUAUAUAAACUGUGUUCAUAAUUUUCUUUACUUUCAUUUUUCAUUUUUUUGAAGAUGUUUUGCAGGUUAGGCAUUAUAUGAUUUCUUUUAUGUCUUGUUCUACCUCUCUGAUUGCUGUCUGUCCGUACUAAUAGCCAGCUGGAUGAUAUAUAUUACACCUUGAACUUUUUCUUUUGUUGAUCAAAUAUUACACUUUGGUUGAAGGGAAUAUAUCUAUAUAUGUGUGUGUGUGUGUGUAAUGUGUAUAAUAAAGCUUUUAAAUGGGCAGAGUAUUAAUUUGUUCACCGUCCUAGUACAUAAAUAUUACUUCAUUUUAA